rnacentral:sRNA from 1 species
GGAUCACCUCCUCAGCCAGGUCAUCCCUACUCCCUGUUAAUUCUGGAGCAUUAAGUCUUUCUUUCAGCCUCUCCUCUUCAUCCUCACUGCCCCCCAACUGCUGCACCCCUGCCACCGCCUCACCUCAAGCCCCUUUCAGACUGUGGACCAAGCUUUUUGCCAUGAGCACCACUCUGGUCAUCUUGCUUGCCUGCUCACAUGGUUCCACGCACCCGUUUCCCUACAGGGUUUCCCAACCCACCCAUUCUCCAUGCACCCCACACCCAGGGUUCAUCCAUGGAGGGUGCACUCUUGCCUUUGGGAUGGGGCAAGUUCUUCAUUUGGCAAUUCUAGCCCCUGGAAAUAAAAUGACUGUGUCAUCCUUCCCCUUCUGCAUUCCAAACGCCCCCUGACAUCAGUGCCGAGUGUCAACCCACACCUAGACCUCCCCUGCCAGGCCACACCCCCUCCAUCUCUGAAUGCCCAGACCUGUGCAGUAACUGCCUGUGAAUCAGGGCUCCAUUUGUGUUUUAAUUAUUUUACCCUGCAGUAUUCCAUUGCAUACCUCCACACUGGCGUAUAGUCGUGAGCAUAGCUGCUUCUGGUAACACACCUCCUAUGGCUGAGGUGCUGUAGAGGAUAUGUAGCACCUUAUAUCCUCCACAUAGCACCUGUAUUCUCCACAGCACCUUAGCCCUGGGAGGUGUGCAGCUUGAGCUGUGUGUUUCAUCUGCCAGGGAGUGGGUGGGGCCAGGAGAGCUGGUCUCCAGGCCUAGGGGUGCCCCUGAUGGCUGCGUGCUGUAGGUGAGCUCCUUCCCCUCUCUGGGCCACUCUCCUGUUGCGGGUCUGAGUGUUUGGGAUCCCACCCAGGGAUCAUCAACCCUGUCCCUGCUGGCCUUCCAGAUAGAGCAGCUGGCCAACCCCAAGGCCUGGAUCAAUGCAGCCACCCAGAUCUUCUUCUCACUCGGCCUGGGCUUCGGCAGCCUGAUCGCCUUCGCCAGCUACAAUGAGCCAUCCAACAACUGCCAGAAGCACGCCAUCAUCGUGUCCCUCAUCAACAGCUUCACCUCCAUAUUUGCCAGCAUCGUCACCUUCUCCAUCUAUGGCUUCAAGGCCACCUUCAAUUAUGAAAACUGCUUGAAGAAGGUGAGUCUGCUGCUGACCAACACUUUUGACCUUGAAGAUGGCUUUUUGACAGCCAGCAACCUGGAGCAGGUAAAGGGCUACCUCGCAUCUGCCUACCCAAGCAAAUACAGCGAGAUGUUCCCGCACAUCAAAAACUGCAGCUUGGAGUCGGAGCUAGACACGGCCGUCCAGGGCACUGGCCUGGCAUUCAUCGUCUACACAGAGGCCAUUAAAAACAUGGAGGUGUCCCAGCUGUGGUCGGUGCUCUACUUCUUCAUGCUGCUGAUGCUGGGCAUUGGGAGCAUGCUGGGGAACACAGCGGCCAUCCUCACCCCUCUGACAGACAGCAAGAUCAUCUCCAGCCACCUGCCCAAGGAGGCCAUCUCAGGUCUGGUGUGCCUUGUCAACUGUGCCAUUGGCAUGGUGUUCACCAUGGAAGCUGGGAACUACUGGUUUGACAUAUUCAACGACUACGCGGCCACACUGUCCCUGCUGCUCAUCGUGCUGGUGGAGACGAUUGGCGUGUGCUACGUGUACGGGCUGAGGAGAUUUGAAAGUGACCUUAAGGCCAUGACCGGCCGAGCUGUAAGCUGGUACUGGAAGGUGAUGUGGGCUGGCGUAAGCCCACUACUGAUUGUCAGCCUCUUUGUCUUCUACCUGAGUGACUACAUCCUCACGGGCACCCUGAAGUAUCAAGCCUGGGACGCCUCGCAGGGCCAGCUCGUGACCAAAGAUUACCCGGCCUAUGCACUGGCUGUCAUCGGGCUGCUUGUGGCCUCCUCCACCAUGUGCAUCCCCCUGGCGGCCCUGGGGACUUUUGUUCGGCGCUGCCUCAAGAGGGGAGACGCAGCCCCCGUGGCCUGAGAUGUGGGCUUCCCAGCCACUCACAGUUUUACAGAUACUAUUUACAGGCAGAAACUCCUCCGUUGCUUUUUCAAAUGCUUAAGCCGGGAGUGCUCAGCCCGUCAAUUUCCUGAGUGUCUAAAGAAGAUGAGGAAGGUGUGCAGGAAGAAAACUCCCUUGGGAGAACGCACACCCUCCCGAGGUGGCCGUUCCUCCCCGUCACCUGCCUGCUCAUCAUCGAAGGAGGAGGGCUAUGAAAGCCAGUCUCAAAGAUAACUGCAUCCUUCAUUCCAGAAAAGUCCUAGAAUUAGGGCACAUUGCAAACUGAAAUAUGACUAUAAUUCUUAUGGAACCAAAUUUAAGCAAUUUUUGUUUUUGGCUGAAGAGACACCAAAAUAUUAGAGGACAAAUAUUUUUAGAUCCAUUUAAGGAGUUUUGAAGUGCCUAAGAUGACAUAUUUGUCAAUGGUGCAAAAUUAAUUCUCUUCUUUUUUGA